rnacentral:rRNA from 1 species
GCUCGAAGUCGCCCGAAAGACGAGGCACCUCAGGGGACUCGUAAAAGACGAGAUUGAUAGACAGCGGGUGUAAGCACCGAGGUUUCGACCGAGGUGUUCAGCCCAGCUGCACUAAUCCCCCGAGCAUCAAGAAUU